CCUACGGGUGGCAGCAGUGGGGAAUAUUGGACAAUGGGGGCAACCCUGAUCCAGCCAUGCCGCGUGUGUGAAGAAGGCCCUCGGGUUGUAAAGCACUUUCAGUGAGGAAGAACGCCUGGUGGUUAAUACCCAGCAGGAAAGACAUCACUCACAGAAGAAGCACCGGCUAACUCCGUGCCAGCAGCCGCGGUAAUACGGAGGGUGCGAGCGUUAAUCGGAAUUACUGGGCGUAAAGCGCGCGUAGGUGGCUUGAUAAGCCGGUUGUGAAAGCCCCGGGCUCAACCUGGGAACGGCAUCCGGAACUGUCAAGCUAAAGUGCAGGAGAGGAAGGUAGAAUUCCCGGUGUAGCGGUGAAAUGCGUAGAGAUCGGGAGGAAUACCAGUGGCGAAGGCGGCCUUCUGGACUGACACUGACACUGAGGUGCGAAAGCGUGGGUAGCAAACAGGAUUAGAUACACCUGUAGUC
rnacentral:rRNA from 1 species